rnacentral:rRNA from 1 species
UGGGGAAUAUUGGACAAUGGGCGAAAGCCUGAUCCAGCCAUGCCGCGUGUGUGAAGAAGGUCUUCGGAUUGUAAAGCACUUUAAGUUGGGAGGAAGGGCAGUAAGCGAAUACCUUGCUGUUUUGACGUUACCGACAGAAUAAGCACCGGCUAACUCUGUGCCAGCAGCCGCGGUAAUACAGAGGGUGCAAGCGUUAAUCGGAAUUACUGGGCGUAAAGCGCGCGUAGGUGGUUCGUUAAGUUGAAUGUGAAAGCCCCGGGCUCAACCUGGGAACUGCAUCCAAAACUGGCAAGCUGGCGUAGGGCAGAGGGUGGUGGAAUUGCCUGUGUGGCGGUGAAAUGCGUAGAUAUAGGAAGGAACACCAGUGGCGAAGGCGACCACCUGGGCUCAUACUGACACUGAAGUGCGAAAGCGUGGGGAGCAAACAGG